AAAUAAGAAGCCUUAUCGAUCACGGCGUUAAAUAUGAGUUCUGUCGUCGCGCAAUUAACUCGCGGAGGGAGAUCAGUUGUGUCUUGCCGCAAUUUUUGUUCAUCACCUGUUAGCAAUGAGUCGAUGGGGUCAGGAAUGUCGGUUGCGAGGUUCGUAGUUGAUGUGAUGGCAACGUCUGUGGGAAUGAUAAUAGGUACUAAUGUAUAUCAAAAGUUAUUAGCACCGAUAUUUAAGGGGAAGGGGGCUGAAGAGGUAAAAACAAAAUCAUCUGGCCAUUGAUAAUUAUCUUCUGAAGCUUUAUUCUAUCCAAUCAGUCGUCGCGGUCUGAUCUAUCGAGUAGUCUUAUAUCAGACAUAAUAAUUAUUUUUAAAGAAUUGUCCUUUUCUUUUGUUCAAAUACUAGAUAAGUAGAUAAUAUCCCGCGCAUAUA